GAUGAACGCUGGCGGCGUGCCUAAUACAUGCAAGUCGAGCGAAUGGAUUAAGAGCUUGCUCUUAUGAAGUUAGCGGCGGACGGGUGAGUAACACGUGGGUAACCUGCCCAUAAGACUGGGAUAACUCCGGGAAACCGGGGCUAAUACCGGAUAAUAUUUUGAACUGCAUGGUUCAAAAUUGAAAGGCGGCUUCGGCUGUCAAUUAUGGAUGGACCCGCGUCGCAUUAGCUAGUUGGUGAGGUAACGGCUCACCAAGGCAACGAUGCGUAGCCGACCUGAGAGGGUGAUCGGCCACACUGGGACUGAGACACGGCCCAGACUCCUACGGGAGGCAGCAGUAGGGAAUCUUCCGCAAUGGACGAAAGUCUGACGGAGCAACGCCGCGUGUGUGAUGAAGGCUUUCGGGUCGUAAAACUCUGUUGUUAGGGAAGAACAAGUGCUAGUUGAAUAAGCUGACACCUUGACGGUACCUAACCAGAAAGCCACGGCUAACUACGUGCCAGCAGCCGCAGUAA
rnacentral:rRNA from 1 species